rnacentral:lncRNA from 1 species
CUGCUCAUACAUUUCCAGGCAUAGUCUCAGGAUGGUGGGAACUUCAAACAUCAACCAGAGCUAAUUCUUUCAUACCAUAAACUAAAUAAUACCGUUUUGUAACUCCAGUACUGGAAAGAGAAGAGACAAAAGAUGAGGAAAGAGAGAGAUAAGGGGUAGAGGAGAGAAUGGAAGUAAGGAGUGAGAAGAAUGGUGAGACAGAUUUCUUAUAUUUGAAGUAGGUAACCCUAGAUAGCAAUGGAUCUGCAUAAUUAACUACAAGGAAAUACAUUAAGAAAUAUAUUGAAAUAAGCAAGUUUUUCACUUUUUAAGAUUGAAAAAUAUUCUUGUUUUUUCUCUCUCUAAAUAUAGUAAACUUUACAGUUGAGAACAUAUGGAUUUGUCUGCUUGAAAACUACAUAAAAGGUACCAUUUCCUCCUUUAUGCUGGCACAUUUUGAAGCUCCUACUUCUCCUUUCUGCUGAGAACACUGUGCCUCACAGUACUCUAUCAUACUGAAGAA